rnacentral:rRNA from 1 species
AUGUGUGGAGUAAUAGUAGUAGAUGCAGGCAGAAGUCUGUCUAGUUGUCACGGACGUGAUGCCUAUAUUCAUGAUCAUCGCCUUAGAUAUUGUCAUAACUAUGCGCUUUUCUAUCAAUUGCUCAACAGUAAUUUAUUUACCCACCGUAUGCUUUCUUUCAAGAGAGAAGCCUCUAGUCAAAACUAUGGCCUCGGGGUCUGUUUUUAUCAUAUUAUUUUCAGAUGUACAAAAUCAAAAACACAAAAAUACUUUGUUGCAAUUUAUUUACUUUUAUUUUAUUUUUCACUUUUACUUAUCUUUUAUAUCUAUCACUAUCAUAUCUCAUCCUUGCAAGUAACCGUGAAUGGAUUGACAACUAUUUUAUUGCGUUGGGUGCAAGUAUUUGUUUGUUUGUGUAGGUGCAACCAUUGGGUGACUUGUGUGUUCCUCCUACUGGAUUGA